rnacentral:rRNA from 1 species
ACUCCUACGGGAGGCAGCAGUGGGGAAUAUUGCACAAUGGGCGCAAGCCUGAUGCAGCAACGCCGUGUGAGUGAAGAAGGUUUUCGGAUCGUAAAACUCUGUCCUAAGGGAAGAAACAAAUGACGGUACCUUAGGAGGAAGCCCCGGCUAACUACGUGCCAGCAGCCGCGGUAAUACGUAGGGGGCAAGCGUUAUCCGGAAUCACUGGGGCGUAAAGGGUGCGUAGGCGGCUUAGCAAGCCAGGGGUGAAAGGCAUUGGCUCAACCAAUGUAAGCCUUUGGAACUGUUAAGCUUGAGUGCAGGAGAGGUAAAGUGGAAUUCCUAGUGUAGAGGUGAAAUUCGUAGAUAUUAGGAGGAACACCAGUGGCGAAGGCGACUUACUGGACUGUAACUGACGCUGAUGCACGAAAGCGUGGGUAGCGAACAGGAUUAGAUACCCUGGUAGACUGUCA